rnacentral:rRNA from 1 species
UUAAUUGAAGAGUUUGAUCAUGGCUCAGAUUGAACGCUGGCGGCAGGCCUAACACAUGCAAGUCGAGCGGUAACAGGGGAAGCUUGCUUCUCGCUGACGAGCGGCGGACGGGUGAGUAAUGUAUGGGGAUCUGCCCGAUAGAGGGGGAUAACUACUGGAAACGGUAGCUAAUACCGCAUAAUCUCUAAGGAGCAAAGCAGGGGAACUUCGGUCCUUGC